UGAGGAAUAUUGGUCAAUGGGCGAGAGCCUGAACCAGCCAAGUAGCGUGCAGGAUGACGGCCCUAUGGGUUGUAAACUGCUUUUAUGUGGGGAUAAAGUGCGUGACGUGUCAUGCAUUGCAGGUACCACAUGAAUAAGGACCGGCUAAUUCCGUGCCAGCAGCCGCGGUAAUACGUAGGGCGCGAGCGUUGUCCGGAAUUAUUGGACGUAAAGGGCUUGUAGGUGGCGUGUCGCGUCUGCUGUGAAAUUCCAGGGCUUAACUUUGGGAUUGCAGUGGGUACGGGCAUGCUAGAGUGCAGUAGGGGAGAUUGGAAUUCCUGGUGUAGCGGUGAAAUGCGCAGAUAUCAGGAGGAACACCGGUGGCGAAGGCGGGUCUCUGGGCUGUUACUGACGCUGAGGAGCGAAAGCGUGGGGAGCGAACAGG
rnacentral:rRNA from 1 species